GAUGAAGAACGUAGUGAAAUGCGAAAAGUAGUGUGAAUUGCAGAAUUCAGUGAAUCAUCGAAUCUUUGAACGCACCUUGCGCCCUUUGGCCAUUCCGAAGGGCAUGCCUGUUUGAGUAUCAUGAACACCUCAACUCUUCAUGGUUUUCCGUGAUGAGCUUGGACUUUGGGGGUCUUGCUGGCCUAUGGUCAGCUCCUCUAAAAUAAAUCAGCUUGCCAGUGUUUGGUGGGUAUCACAGGUGUGAUAACUAUCUACGCUUGUGGUUUUCCACCAGGUAACCUUCAGCAGUGGAGGUUCGCUGGAGCUCACAGAUGUGUCUCUCCUCAGUGAGGACAGCUCUUUGAAUGUUUGAUCUCAAAUCAGGUAGGACUACCCGCUGAACUUAAGCAUAUCAAUAAGCGGAGGA
rnacentral:misc_RNA from 1 species